UCCACNGCAAAAGACUAUGUGAAGAGCCANCAGGUGUUUUGAAUCCUAGACAGUCUUCAAGCCCUGUUCAAACCCAGCAAAAACUUUCAAACCAAUUAGGAAGCAAGAUAAAUGAAACACAUUACUAAGCAGGUACUGGCACGUGCUUUGUGAACAAGAGAGGAAGCCAAGUAAUUUGUCUGACAUCCCAGCUUUGAAAAACUACCUCCCCACUAAAAAAAAUAAAAUAAAAAAGUUGUCAUUCAUUGCAAUCUAAAAUUUCACAAAGUGCAGUGAGUACAGCUGGAUUCUGAAUUUCUGAUAGAAGCUGUGAAGAAAAGGGUCAUUAUUUUGGGACACCCCAGGCAGACCAUGGGCAUCGGGAACAUCUAAAGAAUUAUACUUUGCGCAAGCAAAACAAAGGAUGAUUACAGACCUCUGCCCUUUGGUAUUCUCAGAGCAGUCUUUGUGGGACAAGCUGGACAGCAACUGGUACAAAAUCAGGAAGGUGUCAGUGCCAGGUUGUCAGUCACAUUGUAGAUGACAUCACUCAGACAUCUGCUUUACAGAUGGACUUCUAAGUU
rnacentral:lncRNA from 1 species